rnacentral:lncRNA from 1 species
UAGCCACAGGGUUCUUUAGAGGCCACUUUCUUCAAGUCUCUAAUUUUGCAUAUGAGAAACACUAAGACUCAGCAGAUAAGGAUGGAGGCGACUCAACAUCACACUGAGACAGGUCAUCUGGGACCCAUGGUUUCUAACUUCUAGACCGAAUCUCUUUCUUUCGAAUGUCCAGAUCAUCUCUCCUUCUUCUAAAAACCAAAGAGGCCUCUGCAUGCCUCUCCCUGGAUAUGAGCCCUGCAUUUCUGAAUGCCUUGAAAGAAAAACCAGCAAGUUGGGAGGGCCGUGUCUCCUUAUCAUCUUCCAGGAAUUCAAAACCGUGAUUUCCAGUUUCCAAAUGCAACUCAAGCUCCAUCACCCUGUACAUCUUGCACGGUUUCUCCAGCAUAUCCUGAUCGCCACCUCCAGACCCUUCUGAUAGAUUCAUUACCUGAAUCUAUUUGAUCCUGAACUCCUGCUCUCCCUUGGCUCAACCUCAUCACAGCCAGAAAGGAUGAGAGCUCUUUAAUGAAGUGCAUACAUGUCAGUUUCCCAGGACACAAACCAAAGUAAAGAAGAAUGGAGCAUGCUCCUAUAAAGGAAAAUAAAAGGAGAUCCAUAAAGCAAAUCCAACUCAUGGACACUUACUAAACAUGCACUGUGUUCAUGUAAUGGCUCCAAGAAUCUUAGUGGACAUGGACGGAAGUACACACCUGGAGUGGACCUACAGAAGCUCAGAGUCAAAUGGCAGAAAGAUGAUAUGGGCAUUGAAUACAUUAAAUGAAAAUAAAAGUAAUAAAUCACAAGAGAAGAGAGUAACUGAGGGUGUCACUGGGCAGUACAUUAGCAAUUAAUUACCAGACACCUAUGCAGUUAAAAUGUACUGCUGGCCUUCAAAGGUGAAGGAAUCCAUGGCCUGGAAUGACCAUAAAAAAUUUAUUUUAACAAAAAGACAUGACUGUAGCCUUUUAGGGUAAAGAGAUUUUAACAUUUGAAGAGCAGAGAGACAGGUACAGCAUUGCAGGCUAGGAAAUGUGGGAGUUCAAAAUGGCAGACCAGGAGGAAGGCAAGUUGUGUUUGGGAAAAUUGACUUUAUGGUUAUUAGAAAGACCAUGUAAGCAAGCAGAGAUCAAUUGUGCUAGAAAUGUUUUUCAAAUUGAGCAUCUGGUGUGUGUUAGGCACUGCUCUCGGCACUGGGGAUACAGCUGUGAACAUGAUCAACAAGGACCCUGCAAUCAUGGAGAUUAAAUUAUAGUGAGGCAAACAGAAUAUAAAUAAAUAUACACAUUAGGUGAAAGCCAGACAGCUUCGGGUCUUAUGGAGAGAGUUACUGUUGGAGCAUGUACUAGAGAAUGACUAAAUGGUAACUAUAUGGGAUGGUCGAAGAUGACCUCAAUGAGGAAUCUCUACACUUAGAUAAGACCCAAAUAGCAAGAAUGGUUCUUGUUCUGUAUUAUAAUCAAGAGGAAGAGGAUUUCAGGCAGAGGGAAAAAUGGGAUCCAUGGGCUAAAACAGGUACUUGAAUGAUGUUUUUGAGGAAAUAAAUGAAGAUCAGGGUGGCUAGAGCAUUGUGAUGAAGGUUUACACCAGGUGCUGGCUGGUUUUUAUUCCUAGUGAGAGACAAUUGUUGCAUUUUCAGGGAUUUUGUAAGGCAAUUCAUAUAACGUUGGUAGCUUAUAAUUGACUAUGGUAGGAAUAUUCAUACCUGAGAAAUCGGCAAACACUGUGAAUCAGGACUCCCUCUUUGUCCCCAACCCUCAACUCCCAUUCAGAGAGCCUGUUUUUGAGUAUUUUCUUGCAUACCACAGAGUGAGUAUAAGAAGCAGCUGGAAUAGUAACUAGGAACCAAUCAUCUUAGGCUUUAUAAGGCAGAGAAAGGAAUUUUAAUUUUAGGUGUGUUGGGAAGCCAUUAGUGGGUCUUAUGUAGGAAAUGAAUAUGGUCUGAUUUACAUAUGUAAAGGAUAAUUCUGAGUAUGUUAUGGAACACUUUGUAAAUAGGUAAAAAGAGAAAUAGGAAAAUCAGCUAUUGCAUUAGACUCAGUUAGAAGUGGCAGUGGUUUUGCUAGGGGUUAUAUAAAAGGAAGAAAACUUAAUAAUGUUAGGCCUGACUAUAGGUAGAAUCUAUAGUUUUUACUCAUGAAUUGGAUGUAAGAAUUGAGGAGAAACGAAGAACCAAGUAAAAAUUUUGAGCUUUGGCUUGGGAAACUAGGUAUAUGGUAACGCCAAAAAGAGAGAUGUAGAGAAUUGAUGUAGGAGCAAAGCUGGGCUGGGAAAUUGAGAAAAUUAUACCUGCCUUGUUAAAGUUGAAACACCCACAUGACACUCACCUGGAAGGAUAUUCACACUUGGAUUGUUGGGGAAUAAUAAGAACUAGAGAUACAGUUUGAGGGUCACUGGCAUAGAGAUAGUAAUUAAAACCAGGAUGUCAGUUAUAUCACCUAGGGAUAAUGCAAAGAGAGAGAAAAGCAGGAGAUAAGACAGAUCGAGCAGUGGGAGAAGCCGGCAUUGAAGAAUGAAGAGGAAAACCAGGCGUGUCUAGUGCCAUGAUGCCAAGAGAAAAACCCAGCUCCGAGAAGACAGGAGUUUGUUUGCUAAUGUUAUUGAGGGAUAAAGUAAAAUACGAAGAGAGAAGUAACUUGGACUGGCGGCAAAGCGAUCACCAGUGCUCCUUCUAACUGUGGUGUCGAUAAAGUAAUGUGGACUGGAUGAAGGAGCCUCGUUGGAAUAAACUCAUAUAGGAAUGAUGAUACCGUGUUUACCUACUAAUGGGAAUGACCCUAUUGAAGAGGGAACAUCACGUAUGUUGGGGAGCGGAAAAGUCAAAGUCCUCGAAAAGGAAGCACUUUGGAAACCAAUGGCUGAAAAGUUUGCUUUCUGUGAGAAGUGUAAAUCAAAGUCAUGUUUCUGUUUCCAGCAGUAGAGGAAAGAGAGAUAAACCUGAUGGACACAAGCAGGGCCCUGGAUCCACUUUAAAGGGACAUCCAUGGAAACCAAAGAGAUAAGACUGUGCCUCGUCAAUAAAAACCCCACAUCUCUGGGACUCUGCCACCUGGGGCAUUGUUGCCCUGAAGGAAGAAGCUGAAGGGGAGAUUUAGUUCAUUUGAUUAUCAGCCAGAGAGGAGCCAUCCUUCAAGGCCUCCCAGUCUCUGGCUGCAGCAGUAACUGUAACACUUUCAGCAAGUCUGUACCUAGGCCUUGAUCUGUGUGUAACUUUGGAGGUAGUUGAGCCGUUAUUUGAAAGAAUAUUAUUUUGAGCAAAGGAAGGAGCAGUAAGAGCUUUGGCUCUCCAAUGGGGAAAAAUGUAUUCAUCCUUUCAAACCUCUCAGUUAGACUUAGGCAAAAUGCCCAAUCUGCAGAAAACAAUUGGAGAUCCCUCUGAGGUCCUACUUGGUGGAUCUUCUCUCUUAGAAGUGAAUAGACACAGGAGCACAGGGGUCUUAUGCAAUAGAUAAAAGUUCCUGCCUCUGGACACACAGCUCAACCUCCAGUCUCUGAUAGAGGGAGGACCUAUGCCUUUCCAUGUGUGCCCAGAACUCACCAGCAUCUUCCCUUGCCUGCAGAGAUCAGUUCCUACUGCUCCUUCCUUGGCUCAAAAUAUAUAUUUUUUUAAAUAAUGGCUCAAAUACCUCCAAUGCUGGUAACUAAGAAUGCCUGAAAGGGACUGUUACUGGCUCACCUUAAAAACCAAAGGUGUCAUUUUCUGAACAUUGUUUACAUAUUAUGAUUCAGUAGCAAACACACUGGUUUGGCAGUCAGACCACGAGAGUUUAGCCAUGGCUGUGUCUGCUACUAACUUGCUGUGUGACUUUUUGUACCUCUGUUCAACUCUCUGGGAUGAAUGAGUCAUCCUUUGGGUGACAUGAAGAUAACGCAGAUACUAUUCAGAUUCAUGAUUGUCUCAUCAAGUGAGGCUGCAAUGGCCUCCAAUAAUGCAGAAAGCAAUGAGACAUAUUAGAGAAUCUACACAUUCCAAAACUGUGUUUAAGGUAUUUCACAGAGGUCAUUGGUUGAGAAGUGAAUUCUAUAACAAAUCUGUGAUGUUUGACAAUUGAAAACUAGUAAAACUAUAUAGUUACUUAAAAAAAAAAAGGGAGACUGUCAAUAUACCCAUUGCUUUAAAUGUGUUCACUUUUUAAGUAAUAAAUGUAUCAAAAUUAUUUUUUUUCAUUGGCCUCUGUCAUAAAACAACAACUCAAUGAUGAAAAAAUUCCAGAAAGUUUUUAUGACAAGCUGAGCAGUGGAAACAUGAACUUGUGAAAUAUUUAACUUUAUAUAAUUUCUGAAUCUUUCCAA